GAGAAGCCCUCAAACGAAUUUUGAAGAUGGAGGAGCUCGACUUCUUCUUUACUUGACCCUCUUCUGAUUUGGCACGAAGUAGAGGAUCACCGCGGCAGCACACGGAUGGAGAGGAAGCUUUGGGAUACACUUGGAAGCUCUUCUUCUCUCUAUUUCACUUUGAAUGGCCCUUAUUGUGCUUAUGGGAGAUUUCCCUUGGAAUCUCUUCCCUAAAUAUUUUCUCCCACUUCCAUGAGUUCUCCCCUAGCUCUCUUCUUGUUUUUAUAGCUUUAGAUGGCGUGGAAACAAGAAUAUAGCCAUUAGAGACAAGAAAAAGAGCCGUUGGACACAGUCUGCAUUUCCUGACAAUGUUACCGUUGGGAUCGGAGUCGACUCGCGCGAUCAGGAGUCGGCUCGCCUGUUGCAGGAGUCGGCUCGUGUUUUACCGGAGACGACUCGGCCACUGUUCCAAAUUUGAAUUAAUGUGCUUGCCU
rnacentral:lncRNA from 1 species